GUCUUUGUAGUAUAUUUUAAUAUACUAGUUUUGUAAACCAGAGAAGAGAAUGUAUAAACUCCUAAGACACU
rnacentral:tRNA from 1 species